rnacentral:rRNA from 1 species
CGUGUAGGCGGGUCAGCAAGUCGGGUGUGAAAUUUCCGGGCUUAACCCGGACAGGUCAUCCGAAACUGCAGAUCUUGAGUGCUGGAGAUGAUAGUGGAAUUCCUGGUGUAGCGGUAAAAUGCGUAGAUAUCAGGAGGAACACCAGUGGCGAAGGCGGCUAUCUGGACAGUAACUGACGCUGAGGCGCGAAAGCGUGGGGAGCAAACAGGAUUAGAUACCCUGGUAGUCC